GACGAACGCUGGCGGCGUGCUUAACACAUGCAAGUCGAACGAAGAGGCGAACGGGUGAGUAAUACGUGGGUAACCUGCCCUCCUUUUUGGGAUAAGCCUUGGAAACGGGGUCUAAUACCGAAUAAUGGGGGAUGGGCUCGCGGUAUAUCAGGUUGUUGGUGGGGUGAUGGCCUACCAAGGCGGUGAUGGGUGGCCGGCCUGAGAGGGUGACUGGCCUGAUUGUGACUGAGAUACUGCCCAGACUCCUACGGGAGGCAGCAUUGGUGGAGCUUGCACAAUGGGCGAGAGCCUGUUGCAGGGACGCCGCGUGGGGGAUGAAGUCGUCCGGGUUGUGAACCUCUUUCGAUAUCGAACGGGUACGUGGAGAAGAAGCGCCGGCUAACUACGUGCCAGCAGCCGCGGUAAUUC
rnacentral:rRNA from 1 species